AUUGAACGCUAGCGGCAUGCCUUACACAUGCAAGUCGAACGGCAGCACGGGGCCACCUGGUGGCGAGUGGCGAACGGGUGAGUAAUGUAUCGGAACGUGCCCAGUAGCGGGGGAUAACUACGCGAAAGCGUAGCUAAUACCGCAUACGCCCUACGGGGGAAAGGGGGGGAUCGCAAGACCUCUCACUAUUGGAGCGGCCGAUAUCGGAUUAGCUAGUUGGUGAGGUAAAGGCUCACCAAGGCUUCGAUCCGUAGCUGGUUUGAGAGGACGACCAGCCACACUGGGACUGAGACACGGCCCAGACUCCUACGGGAGGCAGCAGUGGGGAAUUUUGGACAAUGGGGGCAACCCUGAUCCAGCAAUGCCGCGUGUGCGAAGAAGGCCUUCGGGUUGUAAAGCACUUUUGGCGGGAACGAAACGGUGCCGGAUAAUACCUGGCGCCACUGACGGUACCCGCAGAAUAAGCACCGGCUAACUACGUG
rnacentral:rRNA from 1 species